rnacentral:rRNA from 1 species
GCUAUACAUGCAAGUCGAGCGAACAGAUAAGGAGCUUGCUCCUUUGACGUUAGCGGCGGACGGGUGAGUAACACGUGGAUAACCUACCUAUAAGACUGGGAUAACUUCGGGAAACCGGAGCUAAUACCGGAUAACAUAUUGAACCGCAUGGUUCAAUAGUGAAAGGCGGCUUUGCUGUCACUUAUAGAUGGAUCCGCGCCGUAUUAGCUAGUUGGUAAGGUAACGGCUUACCAAGGCAACGAUACGUAGCCGACCUGAGAGGGUGAUCGGCCACACUGGAACUGAGACACGGUCCAGACUCCUACGGGAGGCAGCAGUAGGGAAUCUUCCGCAAUGGGCGAAAGCCUGACGGAGCAACGCCGCGUGAGUGAUGAAGGUCUUCGGAUCGUAAAACUCUGUUAUCAGGGAAGAACAAAUGUGUAAGUAACUGUGCACAUCUUGACGGUACCUGAUCAGAAAGCCACGGCUAACUACGUGCCAGCAGCCGCGGUAAUACGUAGGUGGCAAGCGUUAUCCGGAAUUAUUGGGCGUAAAGCGCGCGUAGGCGGUUUUUUAAGUCUGAUGUGAAAGCCCACGGCUCAACCGUGGAGGGUCAUUGGAAACUGGAAAACUUGAGUGCAGAAGAGGAAAGUGGAAUUCCAUGUGUAGCGGUGAAAUGCGCAGAGAUAUGGAGGAACACCAGUGGCGAAGGCGACUUUCUGGUCUGUAACUGACGCUGAUGUGCGAAAGCGUGGGGAUCAAACAGGAUUAGAUACCCUGGUAGUCCACGCCGUAAACGAUGAGUGCUAAGUGUUAGGGGGUUUCCGCCCCUUAGUGCUGCAGCUAACGCAUUAAGCACUCCGCCUGGGGAGUACGACCGCAAGGUUGAAACUCAAAGGAAUUGACGGGGACCCGCACAAGCGGUGGAGCAUGUGGUUUAAUUCGAAGCAACGCGAAGAACCUUACCAAAUCUUGACAUCCUUUGACCGCUCUAGAGAUAGAGUCUUCCCCUUCGGGGGACAAAGUGACAGGUGGUGCAUGGUUGUCGUCAGCUCGUGUCGUGAGAUGUUGGGUUAAGUCCCGCAACGAGCGCAACCCUUAAGCUUAGUUGCCAUCAUUAAGUUGGGCACUCUAAGUUGACUGCCGGUGACAACCGGAGGAAGGUGGGGAUGACGUCAAAUCAUCAUGCCCCUUAUGANNGGGCUACC